AGGUGUGACGCAGGAAGGUAGCCGGGCCGGGCGAUGGUUGCCCCGGUCUAAGGAUGUAGGGUCAGGGAUAGGCAAAUCCGUUCCUGUGUGCUUCGAGCACGAUCCUGAGAUCUGAUGGGACCCCCGUAUGGGGGGAUCCGGUGAUCCUAUGCUGCCAAGAAAAGCAUCGACGCGAGGUUUUAGCCGCCCGUACCCCAAACCGACACAGGUGAUCAGGUAGAGAAUACCAAGGCGAUCGAGAGAAUUAUGGUUAAG
rnacentral:rRNA from 1 species